AUACAAGUGUAGGAGGAUGAAGUAAACAGUUAUCUCCUGAUCCUUGAUCUUAAUAGAGCAAUCCUUGAAUAUUUAAUCUAUCAGCUUGGAUUUCUUAACAAGUUUGGCUAGAGACAUGAUGUUUUCUAGUGGAACAAGUUCUUAUAUUCAUCUUGCAUGCAAAAUGUAGUGCAAUGGAUGAAUACGUAGAACUACUUUCAAUAAGCACAUUAGCUAUCAAUUUACAAAGGGGAAGGACACCUUGAAUCAUUGAUCCAAAAGCUAGAGCAGCUUGUUGAGUCAAAGCAAAGACUUGGGCUUGGUUCCUUUGAGAUCUAGUCCAUUGAUCACGAGAUGGGUGAGGUCAUUGUUACAACCAUCUUGGGCAAUCUUUCGGCAUGUGACUAAGCUGUUGAUAGAUAAAACACACUCGUUGUCCCACCAAACAAUGAGUAGAAAUGUCAUCAGUUUGCCCACAGUUAUAGCAUAUGAAAAUAACCUACUUAGGAGCAUUUGGAUUCUUCUGAGAUGGUGGUUGCCAUUGAUGCAAUCUCAGCUUCUUCGAGAGUCUUUGAUUAGUGCUGUGCAUGCAUGAACCACCUCCAACGAAGGAAAAACGAAAGGUUUUCCCUUAGUCCUUUCGGCUCAAAAGCUGCUC
rnacentral:lncRNA from 1 species